CCUACGGGAGGCAGCAGUGGGGAAUAUUGCACAAUGGACGCAAGUCUGAUGCAGCAAUGCCGCGUGAGUGAAGAAGGCUUUCGGCUUGUAAAGCUCUGUUGGUAGUGAGGAAAGAUACAGGUCGAAAAUCGUUGUGAUUUGACGGUACUGACAUAGAAAGUCACGGCUAACUACGUGCCAGCAGCCGCGGUAAUACGUAGGGGGCAAGCGUUGUCCGGAUUUAUUGGGCGUAAAGCGAGUGCAGGCGGUUCAAUAAGUCUGAUGUGAAAGCCUUCGGCUCAACCGGUGAAUUGCAUCUGAUACUGUUGAGCUAGAGUGCAGUAGAGGGAGGUGGAAUUCCAUGUGUAGCGGUGAAAUGCGUAGAGAUGUGGAAGAACACCGAUGGCGAAGGCGGCUCUCUGGUCUACAACUGACGCUGAGGCACGAAAGCGUGGGGAGCGAACAGGAUUAGAUACCCGUGUAGUC
rnacentral:rRNA from 1 species